GGAGGGUUCGCCUAGUGGCCGAUGGCGCUGGUCUUGAAAACCGGUAGGGCAGCGAUGUCCUCGUGGGUUCGAAUCCCACACCCUCCGCCC
rnacentral:tRNA from 1 species